GGCGCUGUAGUGUAGCGGUUAUCACUCCGGAUUCUGAAGUAAAAAGACCUUCCGGCAACCCAGGUUCGAUUCCUGGCAGUGCCU